UACGGAGGGUGCAAGCGUUAGUCGGAAUUACUGGGCGUAAAGGGUGCGUAGGUGGUUACAUAAGUUAGGUGUGAAAGUCCUGGGCUUAACCUGGGGACUGCGCUUAAUACUGUGUGACUGGAGUACUGUAGAGGAAGGUGGAAUUUCCAGUGUAGCGGUGAAAUGCGUAGAUAUUGGAAGGAACAUCAGUGGCGAAGGCGACCUUCUGGACAGCUACUGACACUGAGGCACGAAAGCGUGGGGAGCAAACAGG
rnacentral:rRNA from 1 species